CCUACGGGAGGCAGCCGUGAGGAAUAUUGGUCAAUGGGCUUACGCCUGAACCAGCCAAGUCGCGUGAGGGAAGACUGCCCUAUGGGUUGUAACCCUCUUUUGUCAGGGAGCAAUUGGCGCUACGUGUAGCGUUAUCGAGAGUACCUGAAGAAAAAGCAUCGGCUAACUCCGUGCCAGCAGCCGCGGUAAUACGGAGGAUGCGAGCGUUAUCCGGAUUUAUUGGGUUUAAAGGGUGCGUAGGCGGAAUGCCAAGUCAGCGGUAAAAUCGCGGGGCUCAACCUCGCUCCGCCGUUGAAACUGGCGUGCUUGAGUGGGCGAGAAGUAUGCGGAAUGCGUGGUGUAGCGGUGAAAUGCAUAGAUAUCACGCAGAACUCCGAUUGCGAAGGCAGCAUACCGGCGCCCAACUGACGCUGAAGCACGAAAGCGUGGGUAUCGAACAGGAUUAGAUACCCCAGUAGUC
rnacentral:rRNA from 1 species